rnacentral:rRNA from 1 species
GACAGAGGUCCCGAGCGUUAGGCGGAAUCACUGGGCUUAAAGCGUGUGUAGGCGGACUUGUAAGUACCUUGUGAAAUCCCACGGCUUAACCGUGGAACUGCUUGGUAUACUGCUUGUCUUGGGCCACUUAGGGGCUACCGGAACAAACGGUGGAGCGGUGAAAUGCGUAGAUAUCAGGAGGAACACCGAUGGCGAAGGCAGGUCUCUGGGCAUUAACUGACGCUGAGGAGCGAAAGCAUGGGGAGCGAACAGG